UACGUAGGGUGCGAGCGUUGUCCGGAAUUAUUGGGCGUAAAGAGCUCGUAGGCGGCUUGGCAAGUCGGGUGUGAAAGCUUCAGGCUCAACCUGGAGAUGCCACCCGAUACUGCUAUGGCUUGAGUCCGGUAGGGGACCACGGAAUUCCUGGUGUAGCGGUGAAAUGCGCAGAUAUCAGGAGGAACACCGGUGGCGAAGGCGGUGGUCUGGGCCGGCACUGACGCUGAGGAGCGAAAGCGUGGGUAGCAAACAGG
rnacentral:rRNA from 1 species